ACACCUGCACAGAGGGGCACUUCAGGUGCCUCUGGGCCUAUGUUUGAGCCACCAUCUAGGGACCAGGAAGCUGGAAAGCUGGAAGCCCCCCUCAUGACCCUUGUCAGAUGAUGAAAUUGACGCUUACGUUCAUGCAAUGAAUGGGUGGUACAAGUCGAACUCCUUCCAGGAUUGCGUAGCUUCUGUCCUAGCCGGGCAUAAAGAUGCUCAUCACAGUGUCGUUUAAAAUGGCAAAGGACCGGAAGCAACCUGGAUGUCCGUCAGCAAGGAGAUGAGCUAUAUUCUCUCCCCUCGAUCUCAGUGUUGAAAUUGCCUGUCGAACUUGAACCAGCCAAAAAUCUAAAUGAAAAACAGGAACAAAAAG